GCCAGGCAUGGUGGUGCCCGCCUGUAAUCCCAGUGACUUAGGAGGCUGAGGCAGGAGGAUCACAAGUUCUAAACCAGCCUUAGUGACUUCGCAAGGCUCUAAGCAACUUAGCAAGACCCUGACUCAA
rnacentral:sRNA from 1 species